UCUGUGGAUAACCGUGGUAAUUCUAGAGCUAAUACAUGCUAAAAUCCCUGCCNCUUGCNUGGGGGGAGNUUUUAUUAGAUACCAGAAUCACCNGCCUUNGGGUCUUACUGAGGACUCAUAAUAACUCAAGCANAUCGAGCUCANCUCGGCGUAUCAUUCAAGUUUCUGACCUAUCAGUUAGUCGGUAGUGUAUUGGACUACCGAGGCGUUGACGGGUAACGGAGAAUUAGGGUUCGAUUCCGGAGAGGGAGCCUGAGAAACGGCUACCACAUCUAAGGAAGGCAGCAGGCGCGUAAAUUACCCAAUCCUGACUCAGGGAGGUAGUGACAAGAAAUCACANUAUUUGGCUCGUUUGGGUUAAGUAAUUGUAUUGAGAACAGGCUAAUCAUGUUAACCAUAAACCAUU
rnacentral:rRNA from 1 species